CUCCUACGGGAGGCAGCAGUGAGGAAUAUUGGUCAAUGGCCGAGAGCUGAACCAGCCAAGUCGCGUGAAGGAAGAAGGAUCUAUGGUUUGUAAACUUCUUUUAUAGGGGAAUAAAGUGGAGGACGUGUCCUUUUUUGUAUGUACCCUAUGAAUAAGCAUCGGCUAACUCCGUGCCAGCAGCCGCGGUAAUACGGAGGAUGCGAGCGUUAUCCGGAUUUAUUGGGUUUAAAGGGUGCGUAGGUGGUGAUUUAAGUCAGCGGUGAAAGUUUGUGGCUCAACCAUAAAAUUGCCGUUGAAACUGGGUUACUUGAGUGUGUUUGAGGUAGGCGGAAUGCGUGGUGUAGCGGUGAAAUGCAUAGAUAUCACGCAGAACUCCGAUUGCGAAGGCAGCUUACUAAACCAUAACUGACACUGAAGCACGAAAGCGUGGGGAUCAAACAGGAUUAGAUACCCUGGUAGUCCACGCAGUAAACGAUGAUUACUAGGAGUUUGCGAUACAAUGUAAGCUCUACAGCGAAAGCGUUAAGUAAUCCACCUGGGGAGUACGCCGGCAACGGUGAAACUCAAAGGAAUUGACGGGGGCCCGCACAAGCGGAGGAACAUGUGGUUUAAUUCGAUGAUACGCGAGGAACCUUACCCGGGUUUGAACGUAGUCUGACCGGAGUGGAAACACUCCUUCUAGCAAUAGCAGAUUACGAGGUGCUGCAUGGUUGUCGUCAGCUCGUGCCGUGAGGUGUCGGCUUAAGUGCCAUAACGAGCGCAACCCUUAUCACUAGUUACUAACAGGUGAAGCUGAGGACUCUGGUGAGACUGCCAGCGUAAGCUGUGAGGAAGGUGGGGAUGACGUCAAAUCAGCACGGCCCUUACAUCCGGGGCGACACACGUGUUACAAUGGCAUGGACAAAGGGCAGCUACCUGGCGACAGGAUGCUAAUCUCCAAACCAUGUCUCAGUUCGGAUCGGAGUCUGCAACUCGACUCCGUGAAGCUGGAUUCGCUAGUAAUCGCGCAUCAGCCAUGGCGCGGUGAAUACGUUCCCGGGCCUUGUACACACCGC
rnacentral:rRNA from 1 species